rnacentral:tRNA from 1 species
GAGGGUGUAGCUCAGUGGUAGAGUGCAUGCUUAGCAUGCACAAGGUCAUGGGUUCAAGCCCUGGUACCUCCA